rnacentral:rRNA from 1 species
GGUCGAUUUAGCAUGCUAGUUGCACGAGUUCAUACUCGUGGCGAAAGCUCAGUAACACGUGGCCAAACUACCCUACAGAGAACGAUAACCUCGGGAAACUGAGGCUAAUAGUUCAUACGGGAGUCAUGCUGGAAUGCCGACUCCCCGAAACGCUCAGGCGCUGUAGGAUGUGGCUGCGGCCGAUUAGGUAGACGGUGGGGUAACGGCCCACCGUGCCGAUAAUCGGUACGGGUUGUGAGAGCAAGAGCCCGGAGACGGAAUCUGAGACAAGAUUCCGGGCCCUACGGGGCGCAGCAGGCGCGAAACCUUUACACUGCACGCAAGUGCGAUAAGGGGACCCCAAGUGCGAGGGCAUAUAGUCCUCGCUUUUCACGACUGUAAGGCGGUCGUGGAAUAAGAGCUGGGCAAGACCGGUGCCAGCCGCCGCGGUAAUACCGGCAGCUCAAGUGAUGACCGAUAUUAUUGGGCCUAAAGCGUCCGUAGCCGGCCACGAAGGUUCAUCGGGAAAUCCGCCAGCUCAACUGGCGGGCGUCCGGUGAAAACCACGUGGCUUGGGACCGGAAGGCUCGAGGGGUACGUCCGGGGUAGGAGUGAAAUCCCGUAAUCCUGGACGGACCACCGAUGGCGAAAGCACCUCGAGAAGACGGAUCCGACGGUGAGGGACGAAAGCUAGGGUCUCGAACCGGAUUAGAUACCCGGGUAGUCCUAGCUGUAAACGAUGCUCGCUAGGUGUGACACAGGCUACGAGCCUGUGUUGUGCCGUAGGGAAGCCGAGAAGCGAGCCGCCUGGGAAGUACGUCCGCAAGGAUGAAACUUAAAGGAAUUGGCGGGGGAGCACUACACCGGAGGAGCCUGCGGUUUAAUUGGACUCACGCCGGACAUCUCACAG